GAUGAAGAACGUAGCGAAAUGCGAUACGUAAUGUGAAUUGCAAAUUCAGUGAAUCAUCGAGUCUUUGAACGCACAUUGCGCCCCCUGGUAUUCCGGGGGGCAUGCCUGUCCGAGCGUCAUUGCUGCCCUCAAGCACGGCUUGUGUGUUGGGCCCCGUCCUCCGAUCCCGGGGGACGGGCCCGAAAGGCAGCUGCGGCACCGCGUCCGGUCCUCGAGCGUAUGGGGCUUUGUCACCCGCUCUGUAGGCCCGGCCGGCGCUUGCCGAUCAACCCAAAUUUUUUAUCCAGGUUGACCUCGGAUCAGGUAGGGAUACCCGCUGAACUUAAGCAUAUCAAUAAGCGGAGGA
rnacentral:misc_RNA from 1 species